GGGUGCGAUCAUACCAGCACUAAUGCACCGUAUCUCAUUAAAACUCCGCAGUCAAGCGUGCUUGGGCGAGAGUAGUACUAGGAUGGGUGACCUCCUAGGAAGUCCUCGUAUUGCACCCC
rnacentral:rRNA from 1 species